rnacentral:lncRNA from 1 species
AUCCUACUAUGUGUCUCUAUGAAUUUGCCUAUUCUAGAUACUUCUUGUGCCUUUUUCCAUAAUUUUUUCUUAUAACCAGCCCUUCUCAUCCAAAGGCCACAAUGAAGUCGAAGAAACCUAUAGAUGACAGCUUUCACAAUCCUUCUCUUGCCUUUUCCUGUACUGACGUAUGUUAGAGAUCUGGCUGGCAGCUUCAAGACACUUGGAAGCAAGAGGGCCACUCUAUUAAGGAUCGCUGAAGUAUGCCCACAUGUCAGGUUUCUCUCAGAUGUGGUAUCAAAACAUCAUUAUGGGCCGGGCACGGUGGCUUACGCCUGUAAUCCCAGCACUUUGGGAGGCUGAGGCAGGCAUAUGAAGAGGUCAAGAGAUCGAGAUCAUCCCGGCCAACAUGAAAUAACAAGAAAGUUAGAAAGUCUUCUGCCUCCCAUCAGAAAAUGAGCUCAAGUGUUGUAUCCAUUGAAAAUGACAUCUGAUGCUAAUCAUCUCUGAGUGAACCCUACAUCUUACAGUAAAUUGCAUAUUGCAAUAAAAAGUGAUCUCUCAUGGUUCUUGAAUUAUUUUUCAUCAUGUUUAGUGCAAUACUGUAAAUCUUGAACAUCACCAUGGGACCCAUAUGAAAUGUCACUAGUGAUGCUGGAAGUGCUCCCAAGAAGCAGAGAAAAAUCAUUACAAAAAAAAGCUGACUUGCUUGAUAUGUACCGUAGAUUGAGGUCUGCAGCUGUGGUUGCCCACCAUUUCAAGAUAGAUGAAUCCAGUGUAAGGACCAUUGUGGUUGGGGGAGGACUUUGUGGAGCCAUCACUGCAGCUACGACAGCAGGCAUGAAAACCUUGAAGUUUCUGUAAAAUAUCUUUUUAUCUUAUAUUUAAAAUACAAUGUGAGUACAGAAUUGCUAUAAG